rnacentral:rRNA from 1 species
UGCAAUGAGAGUUGUACUAAGGUAGCGUGGUAAUUUGUCUUUUGAUUGGAGAAUGGAAUGAAUGGUUUAAUGUAAAAAAUCUGUCUUUAUAAAAUUUUAUGAAGUUUCCUUUUAAGUGAAAAGGCUUAAUUAUUUGUAAAAGACGAGAAGACCCUGUCGAGUUUAAUUAAAACAUAUAAAAAAUUAUAUUUUAAAAUUUUGUUGGGGCAAUAUUAAUUAAUAAAACAAUUAUAAAAAGUUUUAAUCCUUUUUGAAAGAAAAAAGCAAAAACUACCGCAGGGAUAACAGCGUUAUCUUUUUUAAGAGAUCAUAUUGAGAAAAGGGUUUGCGACCUCGAUGUUGGAUUAUA